GAGACACAAUCUCAUUCUGUUGCCCAGGCUGGAGUGCUGUGGUGUGAUCUCGGCUUACUGCAACCUCCGCCUCCUGGGUUCACGCGAUUUUCCUGCCUCAGCCUCCCGAGUAGCUAGGAUUAGAGGCGCACACCACCAUGCCUGGCUAAUUUUUGGUGUAUUUUUAGUAUAGACAGGGUUUCACUGUGUUGGCCAGACUGGUCUCGAACUCCUGACCUCAUGAUCCACCUGCCUCACCCUCCCAAAGUGCUGGGAUUACAGGCGUGAGCCACCGCGCCUGGCACCCAUAGGCAACUUUCUUAGUCUGUUUGUGCUGCUAUAACAAAAUACCUGAUUUAUAAAGAACAGAAAUGUAUCACAGUUCUGUAGUUUAUGAAGUCCAAGAUCAAGGCAUCAUCAGGUUCAAAUGUCCUCUUCCAAGGGUGCCUUGAUGCUGCAUCCUCCAGAAAGGACGUGUGUCCUCACGUGCAAAAGGGAGGACAAGGAAGUCUGCAUUGAGCCUCUUUUAUGAAGGCUGUAAUCCCAUUCACAAAGGGAGGAGCCCCUCAUCACCUCUUAAAGGCUCCACCUUCUUUUUUUUUUUUUUUUUCUGGAGACAGAGUGUUGCUCUGUCGCCCAGGCUGGAGGGCACAAUCUCAGCUCACUGCAAGCUCCGCCUCCCAGGUUCCUGCCAUUCUCCUGCCUCAGCCUCCUGAGUAGCUGGGACUACAGGCACCUGCCACCACGCCCGGCUAUUUUUUUGUAGUUUUUUAGUAGAGACGGGGUUUCACCCUGUUAGCCAGGAUGGUCUCGAUUUCCUGACCUCGUGAUCCGCCCACCUCGGCCUCCCAAAGUGCUAGGAUUACAGGCAUGAGCCACCGCGCCCGGCCAGGCUCCACCUUCUAAUACUAUCACAUUGGCAACACCUGAAUUUUGGAGAGGACAUGUUACAUUCUGCCCCUGGACCCCCCCUAUAUUCAUGUCUUUCUCAUGUACAAAAUACAUUCAUUUCACUCCAAUAGCCCCCAAAGUAUUAAAACUCAUUUCAGCAUAAACUUUAAAGUCAACUUAAAGGGCAGAGUCUCAUCUAGGUAUUAUCUAAAUCAUGUGAUUCAUCCUGAGGCAAAUUGCUCUCUAGUCCUGUACCUGUGAAACCAAACUAGUUACGUGCUUCCAAGCUACAAUGGAAUAAUAAUGGAAUAAGGCGGAGGUUGCAGUGAGCCAAGAUCGCACCACUGCACUCCAGCUUGGGCAAUACAGUGAGAGUCUGUCUCAAAAAAAAAAAAAAAAAGAAAUCUCUUUGAAGGAUGCCAUGCUUCCACAUCUUGUGCACUCUGCACACUUGCAAAAUCAGUACCAUGUGGAUGCUGAGGUUCACCACUUUGCCCUCCAGAGCAGGGACUAAACUGCACCUGGGCCCACUGGAGCCACAACUACGGCAGCCAAGGAGCACUGUGCCGGGAUGUGGGGAGCAGAGACUUGAGGCAGCCCCGGGCAGCAAGCCCCAAAGUUCCAUGAGUGUUCUACGCCCUUCCCUGGAAACCAUCCUGCCUUCAAGGCCCUCGCACUGUGGGCCUGUGAUGGGAGGAGCAGCCUUGAAGCUCUCUGAAGUGCCAUUGGGUUCAUUCUCCUAUUGUCAUGAUGAAAACACCUGGCUUCUUUCUAGCCACACUCUGAUCAGAAAGUCACUUGGUCACACCCUUGGUUUACUUUCCUAAAUACCUUUUUAUUUACAUGCUUAGGCUGAGAAUUUUCAAAUCUCUAUAUUUUGCUUCCGUGUUAUAAAUCCCAUCUUUGUAUUGUUUCUUCUCACAUUUUACUCUGAGUAGUUAAGAGAAGCCGAGAUCAUGCCACUGCACUCCAGCUUGGGCAACAGAGCAAGACUGUCUC
rnacentral:lncRNA from 10 species